AUGCCAUGAUGAGGGCAUUUUCUCGAUUAGAUCUUUAAACCUCUCCCAAGCCUCAUGGAGAGAUUCAUUAUCUCGUUGGCGUAAAAUUAUUGAUUUCUCCUCUCGCCU